AAGACUAUAGACCUGCGGAGUACCUGCGGAAGGAUCAUUAUAGAGUGGUAAACCCCCCGUAAAAGGGGGGGACCUCCUGUCCUUUGUAGGCUCUUUUUUAAAAGGGCUUUUUUUAAUUUUCUGCUUCGGUGGGGUUAUCCCACCGGAACAACCUCAAAACUCUUAUCAAAAAAUCGUUCUGUCUGAGAACCUUUUAUAAUAAAAAAAAACUUUUAACAACGGAUCUCUAGAUCGGAAGAG
rnacentral:misc_RNA from 1 species